rnacentral:rRNA from 1 species
UACGAAGGGGGCUAGCGUUGUUCGGAAUUACUGGGCGUAAAGCGCACGUAGGCGGAUAUUUAAGUCAGGGGUGAAAUCCCAGAGCUCAACUCUGGAACUGCCUUUGAUACUGGGUAUCUUGAGUAUGGAAGAGGUAAGUGGAAUUGCGAGUGUAGAGGUGAAAUUCGUAGAUAUUCGCAGGAACACCAGUGGCGAAGGCGGCUUACUGGCCCGAUACUGACGCUGAGGUGCGAAAGCGUGGGGAGCAAACAGG